CUUUUAAGUGAAUAUUUGGGAAUACUCGCACUCAUAUGUGUAUAGAUACAUAUGUAUGAAAGAACACUCGUAACCGAAGGAGUGUAUAGCUCAUUUCGCUUGGCAAAGCGGCGGAAUGAGUGUCAUUCAAAGUGAUCGCUUCAAUUGAUGAGGGAGAACAACAACGCCAAUGUAAUUCAUACAUAGAGAUGCGAUAAUUCAUAUCAACGACGAGAACCAAGGCAACAACAAAAACAUGCGCCUACAACCGCUAGUAGCGAAUAGCACUAUCCCCACUAAGAACUAUCGUGUUUUUAUGUACUUGUAUGUAUGUAAUCGGAAAAGACGAAAUUAUGAAUUUCCACUAUUCCAUCUCAUUUCUGUGGGUGUUUGACGAUCAAGGCGUCACCGCGCCGAGCACUGACAAUGCAGCGAUCGUUAAAACAUCUCACGCUCGGUGUGUGCCAAGAAGGAUUAAGUUGAGCGACAACUGCCAGCGGAGCGAAGCGUUUUUUGUUUCUUUUUUGUUUGAAAAAUGUGCAAUAAAUAAUGCAUUUCUAUCAACCAUAAAAUCUCCAUAUAUUUUUUACUGUCUCUUUCUCUACGGCGUCUUCGCUCUUUGAUAUCCUGUGUGACAGGCUUUCAUAGCUUAAUAAAUUAUUUGGUGUAAGUUUAGUUGUAUAAUUAUAGUGCUUAUGGGUGAAAACUUUUGCGCAUAAAUAUUUGGAUAAUAAAAAUGAUUUUAAAGCUUGCUGUGGAAUUCGACCUUAAUGGUUUGCAUUUUAUGCGCAUUUUUGGAUGGAAUGCAAUAAAAUACACCACAUUCAUUAUGCAGCUUAU